rnacentral:rRNA from 1 species
UACGUAGGGUGCGAGCGUUAAUCGGAAUUACUGGGCGUAAAGCGUGCGUAGGCGGUUUGCCGUGUCCUGUGUGGAAGCCCCGGGCUCAACCUGGGAAUUGCAUGGGAAACUGGCAGGCUUGAGUGUGGCAGAGGAGGGUGGAAUUCCGCGUGUAGCAGUGAAAUGCGUAGAGAUGCGGAGGAACACCGAUGGCGAAGGCAGCCCUCUGGGCCAACACUGACGCUCAGGCGCGAAAGCGUGGGGAGCAAACAGG